GGUCGAGUCGGCCUGCGCGGAAGAUGUAACGGGGCUAAACCAUGCACCGAAGCUGCGGCAGCGACGCUGAUGCGUUGUUGGGUAGGGGAGCGUUCUGUAAGCCUGCGAAGGUGGCCUGUGAGGGUUGCUGGAGGUAUCAGAAGUGCGAAUGCUGACAUAAGUAACGAUAAAGCGGGUGAAAAGCCCGCUCGCCGGAAGACCAAGGGUUCCUGUCCAACGUUAAUCGGGGCAGGGUGAGUCGACCCCUAAGGCGAGGCCGAAAGGCGUAGUCGAUGGGAAACGGGUUAAUAUUCCCGUACUUGGUGUUACUGCGAAGGGGGGACGGAGAAGGCUAUGUUGGCCGGGCGACGGUUGUCCCGGUUUAAGCGUGUAGGUGUGUGUUCCAGGUAAAUCCGGUUCACUUUAACACUGAGGCGUGAUGACGAGGCACUACGGUGCUGAAGCAACAAAUGCCCUGCUUCCAGGAAAAGCCUCUAAGCAUCAGGUAACAUCAAAUCGUACCCCAAACCGACACAGGUGGUCAGGUAGAGAAUACCAAGGCGCUUGAGAGAACUCGGGUGAAGGAACUAGGCAAAAUGGUGCCGUAACUUCGGGAGAAGGCACGCUGACACGUAGGUGAAGUGAUUUACUCAUGGAGCUGAAGUCAGUCGAAGAUACCAGCUGGCUGCAACUGUUUAUUAAAAACACAGCACUGUGCAAACACGAAAGUGGACGUAUACGGUGUGACGCCUGCCCGGUGCCGGAAGGUUAAUUGAUGGGGUCAGCGCAAGCGAAGCUCCUGAUCGAAGCCCCGGUAAACGGCGGCCGUAACUAUAACGGUCCUAAGGUAGCGAAAUUCCUUGUCGGGUAAGUUCCGACCUGCACGAAUGGCGUAAUGAUGGCCAGGCUGUCUCCACCCGAGACUCAGUGAAAUUGAACUCGCUGUGAAGAUGCAGUGUACCCGCGGCAAGACGGAAAGACCCCGUGAACCUUUACUAUAGCUUGACACUGAACAUUGAGCCUUGAUGUGUAGGAUAGGUGGGAGGCUUUGAAGUGUGGACGCCAGUCUGCAUGGAGCCGACCUUGAAAUACCACCCUUUAAUGUUUGAUGUUCUAACGUGGACCCGUGAUCCGGGUUGCGGACAGUGUCUGGUGGGUAGUUUGACUGGGGCGGUCUCCUCCUAAAGAGUAACGGAGGAGCACGAAGGUUGGCUAAUCCUGGUCGGACAUCAGGAGGUUAGUGCAAUGGCAUAAGCCAGCUUGACUGCGAGCGUGACGGCGCGAGCAGGUGCGAAAGCAGGUCAUAGUGAUCCGGUGGUUCUGAAUGGAAGGGCCAUCGCUCAACGGAUAAAAGGUACUCCGGGGAUAACAGGCUGAUACCGCCCAAGAGUUCAUAUCGACGGCGGUGUUUGGCACCUCGAUGUCGGCUCAUCACAUCCUGGGGCUGAAGUAGGUCCCAAGGGUAUGGCUGUUCGCCAUUUAAAGUGGUACGCGAGCUGGGUUUAGAACGUCGUGAGACAGUUCGGUCCCUAUCUGCCGUGGGCGCUGGAGAACUGAGGGGGGCUGCUCCUAGUACGAGAGGACCGGAGUGGACGCAUCACUGGUGUUCGGGUUGUCAUGCCAAUGGCACUGCCCGGUAGCUAAAUGCGGAAGAGAUAAGUGCUGAAAGCAUCUAAGCACGAAACUUGCCCCGAGAUGAGUUCUCCCUGAGACUUUAGGUCUCCUGAAGGAACGUUGAAGACGACGACGUUGAUAGGCCGGGUGUGUAAGCGCAGCGAUGCGUUGAGCUAACCGGUACUAAUGAACCGUGAGGCUUAACCUUACA
rnacentral:rRNA from 1 species